rnacentral:rRNA from 1 species
AACGAACGCUGGCGGCAGGCCUAACACAUGCAAGUCGAACGCUGCAGCAUGCAGAGUGGCAGACGGGUGAGUAACGCGUGGGAACCUUCCCAGUGGUACGAAAUAGCCCAGGGAAACUUGGGGUAAUACCGUAUAAGCCCCUAGGGGGAAAGAUUUAUCGCCAUUGGAUGGGCCCGCGUCGGAUUAGCUAGUUGGUGAGGUAAUGGCUCACCAAGGCGACGAUCCGUAGCUGGUCUGAGAGGAUGAUCAGCCACACUGGGACUGAGACACGGCCCAGACUCCUACGGGAGGCAGCAGUGGGGAAUAUUGGACAAUGGGCGCAAGCCUGAUCCAGCCAUGCCGCGUGAGUGACGAAGGCCUUAGGGUUGUAAAGCUCUUUUGGCGGGGACGAUAAUGACGGUACCCGCAGAAUAAGCUCCGGCUAACUUCGUGCCAGCAGCCGCCGCCG